UUUAUCCUUCGGGGCUGGGUGGAAAUCCCGACCGGCGGUGAUGAAGCGAAUGCUUCUUAGUCCGUGACCCGGUUGCUGAUAUCAGUAAGCGGUGGACCUGGUGAAAAUCCGGGACCGACAGUGAAAGUCUGGAUGGGAGAAGGAAACG
rnacentral:ncRNA from 2 species